UUAAUUCGAUGCAACGCGAAGAACCUUACUACCCUUGACAUGUCCGGAACUUGCCAGAGAUGGCUUGGGUGCCCGAAAGGGAAUCGGAACACAGGUGCUGCAUGGCUGUCGUCAGCUCGUGUCGUGAGAUGUUGGGUUAAGUCCCGCAACGAGCGCAACCCUUAUCAUUAGUUGCUACGCAAGGGCACUCUAGUGAGACUGCCGGUGACAAACCGGAGGAAGGUGGGGAUGACGUCAAGUCCUCAUGGCCCUUAUGGGUAGGGCUUCACACGUCAUACAAUGGUCGGUACAGAGGGUUGCCAAGCCGCGAGGCGGAGCCAAUCCCACAAAGCCGAUCGUAGUCCGGAUUGUUCUCUGCAACUCGAGAGCAUGAAGUCGGAAUCGCUAGUAAUCGCAGGUCAGCAUACUGCGGUGAAUACGUUCCCGGGCCUU
rnacentral:rRNA from 1 species